GCGCCGAUAGCUCAGUGGUAGAGCCCCGGUCUCCAAAACCGGUUACCGAGGUUCGAUUCCUCGUCGGCGUG
rnacentral:tRNA from 1 species